UACAGAGGUCCCAAGCGUUCUUCGGAUUCAUUGGGCGUAAAGGGUGCGUAGGCGGCGCGGUAAGUCGGGUGUGAAAUCUCGGGGCUUAACUCCGAAACUGCAUUCGAUACUGCCGUGCUUGAGGACUGGAGAGGAGACUGGAAUUUACGGUGUAGCGGUGAAAUGCGUAGAUAUCGUAAGGAAGACCAGUGGCGAAGGCGGGUCUCUGGACAGUUCCUGACGCUGAGGCACGAAGGCCAGGGGAGCAAACAGG
rnacentral:rRNA from 1 species